UGGGAAACUUGAGUGCAGAAGAGGAGAGUGGAAUUCCACGUGUAGCGGUGAAAUGCUAAGAGAUGUGGAGGAACACCAGUGGCGAAGGCGACUCUCUGGUCUGUAACUGACGCUGAGGAGCGAAAGCGUGGGGAGCGAACAGGAUUAGAUACCCUGGUAGUCCACGCCGUAAACGAUGAGUGCUAAGUGUUAGGGGGUUUCCGCCCCUUAGUGCUGCAGCUAACGCAUUAAGCACUCCGCCUGGGGAGUACGGUCGCAAGACUGAAACUCAAAGGAAUUGACGGGGGCCCGCACAAGCGGUGGAGCAUGUGGUUUAAUUCGAAGCAACGCGAAGAACCUUACCAGGUCUUGACAUCCUCUGACAACCCUAGAGAUAGGGCUUUCCCUUCGGGGACAGAGUGACAGGUGGUGCAUGGUUGUCGUCAGCUCGUGUCGUGAGAUGUUGGGUUAAGUCCCGCAACGAGCGCAACCCUUGAUCUUAGUUGCCAGCAUUCAGUUGGGCACUCUAAGGUGACUGCCGGUGACAAACCGGAGGAAGGUGGGGAUGACGUCAAAUCAUCAUGCCCCUUAUGACCUGGGCUACACACGUGCUACAAUGGACAGAACAAAGGGCUGCAAGACCGCAAGGUUUAGCCAAUCCCAUAAAUCUGUUCUCAGUUCGGAUCGCAGUCUGCAACUCGACUGCGUGAAGCUGGAAUCGCUAGUAAUCGCGGAUCAGCA
rnacentral:rRNA from 1 species